rnacentral:rRNA from 1 species
CCUGGUGGUUCUGGCGGGGUGGCUGCACCCGGUCCCAUUCCGAACCCGGCCGUGAAACGCCCCAGCGCCGAUGGUACUUCGUCUUAAGACGCGGGAGAGUAGGUCGCCGCCAGGU